rnacentral:rRNA from 1 species
GUCUUAUUGAGAAUAAUUUUAAGUCGAUCUGCCCAAUGAUAAUAUUUAAUGGCUGCAGUAUAACUAACUGUACAAAGGUAGCAUAAUCAGUUGAUUUUUAAAUGAAAUCUGGAAUGAAAGGAUUAAUGAAAUAUAUACUGUCUCAUAUAUAUAUUAUGAAUUUAAAAUUUUAAUAAAAAUGUUAAAAUUUUUUUAUGGGACGAUAAGACCCUAUAGAAUUUUAUAUAAAAUUAAUUUUAUAUUUAAUAUAAAAUUUAAUUUUAUAUUUAAUUGGGAGAAUUAUUAAAUUUAAUAAAUUUUAAUUUUUAAUAACUUUAAUUUAAGAAAAUUGAAAUUGAUCUUUAAUUUAAAAUUUAUAGAAUAAAUUACCUUAGGGAUAACAGCGUUAUAUUUUUUUAUAGAUCAUAUAGAAAAAAAUGAUUGCGACCUCGAUGUUGAAUUAAGAUAAAUUUUAAAUGUAGAAGUUUAAUAAUUAAGUCUGUUCGACNUUUAAAAUCUUACAUGAUUUGAGUUCAAAUCGACGUAAGU